rnacentral:rRNA from 1 species
UGCCAGCAGCCGCGGUAAUUCCAGCUCUAAUAGCGUAUAUUAAAGUUGUUGCAGUUAAAAAGCUCGUAGUUGGAUUUUGGUGUCGGACAGGCGGUCGGCUUUUGUCGUACUGCCCUUCUGACGCCUUCCUUCUGUGGACUGCGUCACUCUUAACUGAGGGGCGUGUGGACGCAGAUCGUUUACUGUGAGUAAAUUAGAGUGUUCAAAGCAGGCCUUACGCUUGAAUACAUUAGCAUGGAAUAAUAGAAUAGGACGUCGGGCCUAUUUUGUUGGUUUAGGGACCGUCGUAAUGAUUAAUAGGGACAGUUGGGGCCGUUCAUAUUCCGUAGUCAGAGGUGAAAUUCUUGGAUUUACGGAAGAUGAACUACUGCGAAAGCAUUCGGCAAGGAUGUUUUCGUUAAUCAAGAACGAAAGUUAGGGGAUCGAAGACGAUCAGAUACCGUCGUAGUCUUAACCAUAAACUAUGCCGACUCGGGAUCAGCAAGUGUCGUUCACGACCUCGCUGGCACCGUGUGAGAAAUCAAAGUCUUUGGGUUCCGGGGGGAGUAUGGUCGCAAGGCUGAAACUUAAAGGAAUUGACGGAAGGGCACCACCAGGAGUGGAGCCUGCGGCUUAAUUUGACUCAACACGGGGAAACUCACCAGGUCCAGACAUAGCGAGGAUUGACAGAUUGACAGCUCUUUCUUGAUUCUAUGGGUGGUGGUGCAUGGCCGUUCUUAGUUGGUGGAGUGAUUUGUCUGGUUAAUUCCGAUAACGAACGAGACCUCAGCCUACUAAAUAGUAACGCCUGCUUCGGCAGGUGGAUUACUUCUUAGAGGGACUUUUCGAGUCAUCGAAAGGAAGUUUGAGGCAAUAACAGGUCUGUGAUGCCC